rnacentral:rRNA from 1 species
AGAGUUUGAUCCUGGCUCAGGAUGAACGCUAGCGGUGUGCCUGAGAUAUGCAAGUCGAGCGUCUUUUUAUCCGCAAGAGUGAAAGGUAGCGGCGGACGGCUUAGUAACGCGUAGGAAUCUCCCCUCAAGUAGAGAAUAGCCC